rnacentral:rRNA from 1 species
GAUGAACGCUGGCGGCGUGCCUAAUACAUGCAAGUCGAACGGCAGCGCGGGAGCAAUCCUGGCGGCGAGUGGCGAACGGGUGAGUAAUAUAUCGGAACGUGCCCUAGAGUGGGGGAUAACUAGUCGAAAGAUUAGCUAAUACCGCAUACGAUCUACGGAUGAAAGUGGGGGAUCGCAAGACCUCAUGCUCGUGGAGCGGCCGAUAUCUGAUUAGCUAGUUGGUAGGGUAAAAGCCUACCAAGGCCACGAUCAGUAGCUGGUCUGAGAGGACGACCAGCCACACUGGGACUGAGACACGGCCCAGACUCCGACGGGAGGCAGCAGUGGGGAAUUUUGGACAAUGGGGGAAACCCUGAUCCAGCAAUGCCGCGUGUGUGAAGAAGGCCUUCGGGUUGUAAAGCACUUUUGUCCGGAACGAAACGGGCCGAGCUAAUAUCUUGGCCUAAUGACGGUACCGGAAGAAUAAGCACCGGCUAACUACGUGCCAGCCGCCGCAGUAA